GGACGAUUAGCUCAGUUGGAGUCAGAGCGUCGGUCUACGAAACCGAAGGCCACUGGUUCGAAUCCAGUAUCGUCUG
rnacentral:tRNA from 1 species